GUAGGUUGUGGGUUUUUGUUU
rnacentral:miRNA from 1 species